CCCAACUCCAAAGGAGAGGGGGAUAUACUGUUUUACCCUUGUGUGUCUGUGGCUUGAAAUAAUAAGGAGGCUUGAUGGUCAACAAUUUAACCAUCAGAUCUACCUUAGAUUUUAAGAUAGGUUUUGUUUACCUAAAAAAAAAACCCAACUAUUUCUUAGUAAAGAAAAAAUCCACGAAUUUUACCUUUCAAAUUCGGGUAUUUCCUGUAUUUUAUUAAAAGUUCUUCUUUUAAGGAAGAUCAAUGCAGUCUUAAAGUGCUAGAAAAUCGAACCCUCUUAAAUGUCAACCUGGUUUAUUUUGUAUAUUGAAAAAGUGGUUAUUUUUGUCGUAGAGGAAAGAAAUUGGGCACACGAGAUUAUAAGUUUGCAGGAAUCAUCAACACAAAUUAAUUGUGAUUUAAAUGUGUAUAUUUACACUUGCAAAUAUUUUCCCUUAUAUAUAUCGUGGUCACUAUUUUUUUUAGGCGCAUCGCUAUCAGCGAUGUAGCCUCAUUGCAUUCAGCUCAUUUCUCUCGGCUUAUAUACAAGCGGCGUCAUAGAAUUUAAGUAUCAAUGAGCCAAUGAAUAUAUAGUGCCGUUCUGAUUGUUACGUAUUUUCAACCAGGAACAUAAAUUCAGUAUUCGUUUUAAAAAUAUCAACAAAUCAUUACAGCAGAUAUCUCCUUUACACAUUGAAAAAGACAUCAACAUCAACGAAAGAACAAAACAAAGAUUAAUACACAGAUGAGGUAGACUGGCAAUGCCUGCAAUGCGAGAUGUACGUACAAUAGGGACAGGGGACCAGUGAACGGAUGAGAUAAUUUGCAUAACAACAGUUCGUACUUCAAUUUAAAAGCGAUGACGUUAAUUGUUCGAAUAUCGGAAGUAAAAAAAAUGUAAUAAAUUAGUAUAUAAAAUAUUUAUAUUGAAAUGAGAGUAAGUGGCUGUCUUCUUAUAGCUAGGAACAGAUUUUGUAUUUUAUCACUUGAUAAAUCGAAUAAGACAAUGUCCAACUGAAUGAGGAAAAGCACGCCACCUUCCCCAUGUAGAAUGGCGAUAUUUAACAACUUGUAGUGAUGUUUUUAGCUACCUUCAAUGCGAUGCAUCGCCCAGGCCUUCAGGCCGUUGAUUUAUAUUUUAAAACUAACUGACUUACGCUAAAACGCUUAAUAUUGUAAUGAACGAACAAUUGAAAUAUAAAGAAAAAAAACCUUUCAUAUCUGUAUUUUAUUAUACAAAGUUUUAUUCAUUCAUUUUUAGCUCACCUGAACCGAAGGUUCAAGUGAGAUUAUCUGAUCACCCAUUGUCUGUUGUCAAUCCGUCCGUCCAACUUUUCACAUUUUCGACUUCUUCUCAAAAACCACUGGGCCAAAUUUGGUACAAAUCAUUCUUAUGGAAAGGGGAUUGUUAAAAUAAAGGGCACAGCCCUUUUUAAAAGGGAGAUAAUUGCGAAACAGUGAGUAUAGGGUGCGUGUCUUAAGAAAUCUUCUUUUCAAGAACCACUGCACCAGAAAUGCCAACAUUAACACAAAAGUUUGUAUAUAUAGAGAAGAUUCUAAAUUGUAAAAAUUGUGACACUUCGUACCAAAGCCCCAGGCUGGGUUUAAAUUUUAACAUUGAAAUUCAUAGGAAAAAUGUUUACAUGAUUUUUGUUCCAUUUAUUCAACUAAAUUGUGCACCUAAAAACGCAACUGUGUCUCCCUGAUUAUUGACAACAUUGCAUAAGUAUAUAAGGUUGUUUAAUCAAGAAAUGAUGGAUGAAAACGAUAAAGUGUAAAAAUUCGCUAAAUAUUAUUUUAGUUUAUCGCUUACAUUUUAUUUGGAUAUUGUGCCGGAUAAAAAUAAAAAUAAAUAUGUAAAUUUAUUUGUUAUUGGGCACGGUCUCCAAAAUAAAUGUAAGCAAUAAAUUUAUCUUAUGAUUUUGUAGCAAUAUUGAAGCUAGUUUGGUUGAGCAUUAUAGAUACGGCAGAUCAACGCAGGUGUUGUGGAUUUAUUUGCAAACAACCAUACCACAGAUAAUCUUGUUUCACAUCGGAAUUAAAUUUAAAGUUUAAAAGUAUGUUUUAUUAUAAUUAGGGAAAUACUGUUUAUGUGUUACCCUCGUAUACAAAUGAUGAACUCGUAAAAUUUGUUCAAAGACUGUUUAAAGCAGAAAGAAGAUAAUUUAUUUUUGAACAUCGAAAUUUCUUCGAUUUUUAUAACCAGGAUGAGUUAUGAUUCAUUGUAUUAUAAAUGCAUCACUACGUAAUUUAUAAGGAAAUAUACUGAGUAAACAAGCACAUGGUGAUGUUAAAAUUUCAUAUAAAAAUAUAGUUGCAUAUUGUGGUAUUUAUGGACUUGUUGUACGUACGACCUAACUCGGACAACGCGUGCAGGGAUCUCUAUCUCGUGGGCUCCCUGGUCGAGGACGGGUGUGUCCUGGUGCAUGGCGAGGGCUAUUGUGAACUCUUGUUGAUGAACUGAUGUUUCAUGUGUAUUUGUAUGUUGUCUACUUGGCAAUACAUACUAUAAUAUGUACAAGUUUAGUUACACAAAACAUUUUUAUUCUGAUAUUUGAUAAACGACUAUUGGUACAGAAUUUUAAAUUAAUGAUACCUAUAAUAAAGAAAUAGUCAGCUCGAGGCCUUUGUGGGCGUUCCGGCCUUUGAUAUGUAAAGUGAUCAUUCUAAAUUGUAGAAAUCGUGACCCUCGGACCAAAACUGGAGUCCCAGGUGGGGUUCAAAGUUUAACAUAGAAUUACAUCGGAAAAAUGUUUAAAAAUUUUCUUCUAAAGAACUACUGCACCAAAAAUGCCAAAAUUUAUACAAAAGGUUGUAUAUAUAGUGAAGAUUAUAAAUUAUAAUCAAAGUACUGAAGUAGUGAAGGGAGUUGAUUUUAUCGAUUAUUAUUUAUUUUGAAAUCAACAAUAUGUUAUUUUGCUUGGCAAGUAGUUUAUAAUCUGCACACUUUAUUUAUAUGAAUAUGAAUUCUCGGACUUUUCUGACAAGAAUUUCGAGAAAAUGUAAACAGCUUAUGAAUCAUGUUGUGUAAUAUUUAAAAAUAGAAUUGAUAUCAUCAAACUAUGUAUCAGUAAUUGAAAUAUUGAAAAAAUUGUAUUGAUCCAUGCAAUAAUGAACUCUAGUCUCGUUCAACCAGAUGUUCAGCUGUCUCUGUUAAUCUCCGAUAAGCAAGAGCUGAAUUUCUGCUUGUCUGGGAUUUACGGAGACAGCCGAUGGUUGAACACUGCGGCGUAGGAAUACAUACGACUGCAAAAAAUAUCUUACUUGUUCGUACUAUUUAAAAUCUGGCUAUUUUUAAGGUUUUCAUAAAUUUCAUUAAAAAAUGCUUCAGUAUACAUUGCAUCGAAUUUAUCGAUUAUUUUCAAGAACUAAGUCUUUUCAGCGGUGAUGAUUUGUGCCUAGGUCCAAACACUGUUUCAGCUUCGGUUUGCCAGAGUAACUGCAUAGGAGAGUUGAUUAAAAAUCAACUCCCAAAAAUCAUGACCCCCCCAACAAAAAGUGGGGCUCCAGGAGGGGUUUAAAGUUUAACAUAUAUAGGAAAAUGUUUAAAAAUCUUCUUCUCAAGAACUAUAAUGCAACAGUUUGGGAUAUUACUAUGCAUACAUUUACAUCCUUAAAUAAUGUAGAUUCUGAUUUGUAAAAAUCGUGACUCCCAGACAAAUACUGGGGCAUUGGAUUUGAUCACGCCCCGACCAAAAUUAUCACCUCAUAAUACUCAAAGAAAGAUUCCUUAUUCUUUAUAUAAAGCCAGUGUUGCUCAGGUGAGCGAGGUGGCCCUUUGGGCCUCUUGUUACAUUAAAUAUCAUUCAUUGCGGGGUUAAAUGAUCAUGGCUUACGAUUCUCGCAGAAGAUCAUGUUUAUAGAUCGACAUCGAACAAAGCGUUCUUGGAAAAUUACAAUCGCAAUUUUUCAAAGUAGUUAAUAUCAGUCAUUUCUGACAUUUAUAACAGGUCUCGAUCAAAAUGGCAAACGCAAUAUCACCGACCUUAUCAUGGUUACAUUUAACUCCUGUUGCUUCUCUGUCCAUUUCCUUCCGUAAAAGAAAUUAGAAUAGCUUGUCUCUAUAAUGUCCAAAGAAAAUCAUUAUGCUGCAAUAGAAUUUCUCUGAAAAUGCCUAAGUAGACUCUAACUCAGCUUUCAAUCGCUUUGUUUACAAAUUUCCAACUGCUCUGUUACUAUUCCGCCAAGCUUAAUCCGUUUUUUUUUUUUAAUUGAACAGCGAAUUUUCUAUACUGUUUCACUAUAUUAUCAUAAAAAAGUGUUGUUUUGUAAAACGCAGUGUCAUAUUUAUUUAUUAUGAUAAUCAAUACAUGCAACAUAUUGUUGAACUAUAUUUUGUUAUGUCAUGUUAAUCGAAGCGGUUUUCUAGGUCAUCACAAAAAAAGAAUGUAUGGAGCAAUGUUAUCGUCAUAAUUUGCAACAAAUGUACCGUAUUUUUCGAAAAUUAGGUCGAUCCUGUUAAUUGGGCAAAGGAACCUGUUUUUAGCAAAAAACAAAUUAAAAAGUAUAAAUAGGUCAACUUUGAAGAAUUGGUCUAAGAAUAAACGCUAGUUUGAAUGAAUAAAGGGUUUGAACCAAUAACGUUAUUAUAUAGUAGCCUUUAAUCUUUAACAAAAAGUUUGAAAUUGCAUCAAAAUUUUCAAACCAAUUUACCGGGUAUUCAGUACGGCCGGAUUAAUUUAAGAUCAUUGGUCUAUUACUUCCCUGCCAUAUGUACAAAUUGGUGUUAAUCGGGAGAUAGUAACCUAGCCUGGAGGCAUGAGUACGGUAGCACAUGCAACCCUGUGUCUCUGUAUGAAUUUUUAAUGUGUAUAUACACACAAGUCAACCUCUGAUCUUAUCGAAGCCUGUGGGCAUGAGUACCAAGUGCAUCCAAAAAUGAUACCUUGUUUCUUAAAUAACUUGGAAAGGUUAUGUACAGCUAGGUUUGAGCAAAAAUUGAUUAGAGUUGAAGUACAUGUCUAUUCGGCUAUUGAAAAAACUCGCAAGCUUUCUCAAAAUGGCAAUGAGAGGUAAACUAAUAAAUAGUUAUAUUUGAAAUUUUAAAGCAAACAUAUUUUAAAUCUAUAUCGUAGAUCUUAAUAAACUAGUCAUAAGAACAGAAAAUAGUGUUCAUACGGCAGAAUUCAAUAAGGCCAGCAUUUUUUUAUUUUUAGAUUUACGAAAUAUUUUUCAAAUUAUUUGGGUAGGAGGAGGGAAAAAAAAUAAAAAUAAAAUUGAAAAAUUUGUCCGUCGAGAAAAAAAAUAAAAAUAAAACAAUUUUUCAACAAUAUUUUUUUUAUUUUUAAAAUAAGAACACAUGUCCAGGAGCUGCCAUUUUUUAAAUAUAUAAGUAAUUUUGGUUGUUGAUGAUGUUCUUAUCAUAA